rnacentral:rRNA from 1 species
GGGUUGUGAGGUUAAGCGACUAAGCGUACACGGUGGAUGCCCUGGCAGUCAGAGGCGAUGAAGGACGUGCUAAUCUGCGAUAAGCGUCGGUAAGGUGAUAUGAACCGUUAUAACCGGCGAUUUCCGAAUGGGGAAACCCAGUGUGUUUCGACACACUAUCAUUAACUGAAUCCAUAGGUUAAUGAGGCGAACCGGGGGAACUGAAACAUCUAAGUACCCCGAGGAAAAGAAAUCAACCGAGAUUCCCCCAGUAGCGGCGAGCGAACGGGGAGCAGCCCAGAGCCUGAAUCAGUGUGUGUGUUAGUGGAAGCGUCUGGAAAGGCGCGCGAUACAGGGUGACAGCCCCGUACACAAAAAUGCACAUGCUGUGAGCUCGAUGAGUAGGGCGGGACACGUGGUAUCCUGUCUGAAUAUGGGGGGACCAUCCUCCAAGGCUAAAUACUCCUGACUGACCGAUAGUGAACCAGUACCGUGAGGGAAAGGCGAAAAGAACCCCGGCGAGGGGAG